GCUUCCAUAGCUGGGCUCAUAUGCUUGCUUAGGCAUUAGUCUACUGUCCGUCUUCCCGUUUUCUGCGUUUGCUCUAUCAGCACGAAGUGCCAACUGCAAAGACAUGCC
rnacentral:lncRNA from 1 species